ensembl:lincRNA
ACUGUUCAUGACUUCACCACACAAACUUCCCUCAUGUAUUGGGAGGGACCAAGGGGCUCUCUGGUUCUGCACCUGCGUUAAUUACCACCGGGAGGUGCACACUAGGACCCCAAGGCCUGGGACCAGUCUGGGUCGGGGCAGAGAAGCGGUGGAUGUGGCUCCCGAAGUGUCUUAGGGGCUCCCUUCCCUGUGGCUGUUUCCUGACUGGAUGCAGCAGGGUCAGGCCUUUCACUGUGACGUUUUCUACUCCUUAUUAGAGUGGCAGGAGCGUCCCUGUGAGAGGCCUGACCCAGGUGUGGGCCUUGCAGCCAGCCCCGUGUCCAAGGGGCACUCCUGGGAGUGCAGAGGAGGAUUUGUGACAGCCUAGAGGAUAGAGGAAAAGGUGGCUUUGAAAAGGUUUGUGAGCCGCUCCUGGUCCCCUGCUGCUCCGUGAGAAAUCAAACUUCUGGCAAUGACGAAGCAUGAAGCCAGCAUCUUAGGGAGAGGUAGUGACAUAAUUGCACGGGCGACCGGAUUACAAUCUCAGCCAGCAUGAACAGGGGGUGGCACGCAGUACUGAAGGGGGAAGCCGGGCUGUGCCGGCUUCGCUGUGCAUUCUGGGAGCUGUAGUCUCUUCACCGCUCCUGCCCGUUGUUUCAAGCGCUUCGGGACUACAAUCCCAGUAUUCCCCGGGCUCGGGGGCGGGGCGCAGUUCUCGUGGGAGGAGCGAGGCACCGCGCUCCUGGCCAGGCAAGCUGGAAACGGUAUCUCUUAACGGUUCCCUGCCCCUUGGUGGCAAGGCGGCUGGACUAGAAUCUCAGCAGGCGACAUGCGAGGAGGCGGGCAACCCAGGAGGGUUGGGCAAGGCAGUGUGGACCUCGACGCUUCCACAGCGAUGCUGGCUACUGAUCGCGGGCACCUCUUUGCCAUGGGAACCAGAGCGCAGUGCAGCCGCUAUGGCUAGAAAUCCGCCGCCUGGCCAGCCUGUGCACAAGUUCAGAGCUUUGCAGGGGGUGACAUGGACUGUGGCUUCGUGAAAAUGUCACCCUCACCAGCGCCUUUUUCGCAGAUAUGGAUGUUGAGGCGGCAGGGAGUGUCAUUAUUGGUUUACCCAGGAGAUGCUAAGAGCAGAGGAGAAAAUCUCACUUCCCAGGCGUGUCCUUGGUGCGCCAUUUCCCGCCAACCCAUUUGGUGGAAAGUUCGCCAAAUAGCUACCUAAAGAUGAAAAUGGUUUAGGCAUUUUACACGUGACAUCAAUGGCCUAAUCUCAACUGAGGCCUGACUGGGCAGUGUCUCAAAGACGCAGAUGGCGACCUGAUCCUCAGGAACAGGUGGUGCUCCAGCUUUGUGGAAGCCCAAGGUGUGGAGCACUUGGGGCAUCUUUGAAACUCCUCAGGCUUCACAACUUUGCUUUGAAUGGAAUGUUCAUCACCCCCGGCAUUCACGGAGUUACCUUUACUCUCUCGGGCUGAUCUGUUUAAUUUUUCUAUCUAGACAAUGGAAACUUCUGGGAGUACUUCUAGUUUUGUGUAGCUUCCUAAUCAUUGAUGUCCCUUAUUUCCAUAUGUCCUCAGGGACAGUUUUGAUUCUGGAACGGCACCAGCUUUUAUGCUUUUUAUGUUUAAUCUGUAAAAACCAUGGUUUUUUACAUGAAAAUAAGACCUUGCUCAUACCACACAUUACAACAGGCUUCAUUCGUGAUUCCUGAAUGUGGCUUACUAUUAAAAAAAAAAAAAAAACCCUAAAAACCCUGGUAAUGGAUAUUAGACACUGUAAUUGUACUUUGUAAAGAAUUUUCUCCUUCAGGAUCAAUUACACUUGGGCUCAUCAGCACCUUUGU